rnacentral:rRNA from 1 species
UACGUAGGGGGCAAGCGUUGUCCGGAAUCAUUGGGCGUAAAGAGCGCGUAGGCGGCCCGAUAAGUCCGCUGUGAAAGUCAAGGGCUCAACCCUUGAAUGCCGGUGGAUACUGUCGGGCUAGAGUCCGGAAGAGGCGAGUGGAAUUCCUGGUGUAGCGGUGAAAUGCGCGGAUAUCAGGAGGAACACCAAUGGCGAAGGCAGCUCGCUGGGACGGUAC